rnacentral:lncRNA from 1 species
CACAGCAAUGCGGGAUCCAGACUGCGUCUGCAGCCUACACCAUAGCUCACGGCAACACUGGAUCCUUAACCCACUGAGCAAGGCCAGGGACUGAACCCACAACCUCAUGGUUCCCAGUCGGAUUCAUUAACCACUGAGCCACAAUGGGAGCUCCCAUUUUUCUUUUUAAAAUUUGUUCACUCUUUCCACUUAUUCCUGUGCCCACAUGUACCAGGGAUAAACUACAGUCUUUAAUUUGGUUACCUGAAUUUUCACAGUGGACCAUCCUGAAAGACUGAAUUUAAACUGUGGAAUUGAUUGUAACUGACAAAGCUUCUAUAAAGACCAUCUUUAUAAAGCAUCUAAAUUGCACUCUCAAAUAAUACCACAAAUAAGGAUGGAUAGUUUUGCUAUUUUUAACACCCAAUUUGUAGUGAUGUUUUAUCACUGACUAUGACAUUCAAAGAUAUGGGGCCUAUAAGUAAAUAUCUGUCACUGGAAAUAAUCAGCCUAUGGCAAAAUAGACACCAGAGCAGUACAUAAUUUGUGUUUGUUCUGAGAAAGACUAUUCAGAUUUUUAUUAGCCUAAUGAUAAAAAAAAAAUUGCUCUUGCUACUUAUUCCAGUAACAGAGAAAACUAUUUUUAAAUGCUAAAACAAUAGUAGCUCCUUUGGUGAGUGAUGCGCUACUUAGUAAUAACGCUGUACAUUUUGAACAGAUCUGUAGUUUUUCAAAGACAAACAUCAAAUAGAAAGAAAAAGGUUAUGUCACCUUCACCCUCACAGUACUGUCAUUUAUAUGCUAUCAGCUCAUUAAAUUCACAUUAGGAUACUCCAUGGGGCUUGAGUUGCUAUUAGUGCACCUAAAAUGGCAUAACAAAAUCUCAGUUCACUUUAAGAGAGAUGGCAUUGCGACAUUUUGUAUUUCAUCACUGAAUUAUUACAGUCUCAGAUGCAUUCUGCUGUGAUGGUAAUGGAAGGAGGAGAACAAGAGAGGAAAGCUGUCCAUUUGUUGUUCCCCAGGGAGAGAAAAAGCAAAGUUUGAUUAAAAAAAAUUUAAGGAAGUGAAGGGAAAGCAUUAACAAUUUAACCCCUGUAUCAAGCCUGAAAACACACAAGUGAAGGCAAAUAUUACAUUUUGAGAUAAGUUCUAAGGAACUUGGGGUAAAGUGAAUGUAUUGAAAGUCUCAGGAGUUUGACUGCAAAGCUGGUUUAGGGUGAAGGUGGAUGACCUUCCAGGACUCCACAUUACCCUUAUGAAGUACUCACUGGUAGCACAGCAUUGUCCUUUUCUAUUAUAUUCUCACUGAUUCCUUCUUUGUGAAAAAAAAAAAAUAUAUACAUAUAUCGGUGUCCUCUUAAAAGUCCUCUGCUAAAUAAUGUGAAUAUUGAUAAUUCUCUCCAUGGUAACAAAAUCCUUUCAUGAUGACAAAGCUUGCCAGUCUGACUUACACACUUCCAUUCAAGAUUUCAUGAGAAGAUUUUAGCAAAAUUUACAAUGAUCAAAUUGUGCCUUCCUCAAGAGUAUAUAAUCAUGGGAGCUCCCAUUGUGGCUCACUGGGUUAAGGACCCAAUGUUGUCUCUGUGAGGAUGUGGGUUUGAUCCCUGGCCUCACUCAGUGGGUUAAAGAUCCAGUGUUGCUGCAAGUUGCUGCCUACAUUACAGAGGCAGCUGGGAUCCAGUGUUGCCCUGGCUGUGGCACAGGUUCCAGCUACAGCUCUGAUUCAGCCUCUAGCCUGGGAACUUCUAUGUGCUGCAGGUGCAGCCAUAAAAAAGAAAAAAAAAAAAAGUGAAGUCAUCAGAGGAAGAAGCCUGGCUUAGCAAUGAUUUAUAUAUGAUACCAGGAUUAUUGUUGCCUAUAAAAACCAGUACACUUAGAAUUUUUGUUGAAUAUUCAACCAAAAAAAAAAUAAGCAGAGUAUGUGCCAGAUAUAACAUGCUCAUAUAUUGAACUAGAGAAAUAGACAGGUUUACUAUGCAAUGAAAAUCAUGUAACAGCACAAGCAGGGUCUCUUCUAAAGAUCACUUCUUAGUCACUUAUAUCACUAUUUGCACAAUAUUUAAAACAGGAGUUGUGCAGACAUUUUAGACAUCAUGGCUAUGGCUUUCUUCUGCAUCAAUUUUUACAAAAAGGAAAAGAAUUGCGGAAUACAUGGAAAAAUGAAUACCGCUUGUUUGUUAGGAGAAUUGGGUUGUAGCUGGAGCUCUGUUGCUGACUGUGUCAUUGAUAACCCCAAUCCCUUGAGUGUAGGUUUCCUCAUCUAGAAAAAUGAAGGGGUUGACCUAGACUGUUAUUAAGAUUCCCUAUAAUUCUGAAUAUCUGUGUGUUACAAAAAAUGGCAGUGUUAGAAAAAGAGACCCAGCAGGAGUCUGGGGUAUUAGUCUUUGCUUGGCUGUUAACAAUCUAAGAGACCUAAAUUAGCCAUAUUAACUCCAGUUUACCUUUCUAAAAAGUAAGGCAAAAUACUUUCUGAUCUACAAAACCACCUGAGAUCUAAGUACCUUUUUUGUUUGUUUGAUUGUUUUGUUUGUUUUUUCAUUCUUCAGUCCUUUCUGAGCUCCAUCCUAAUGUUGCCUUGUGUUACUGCACAAAAUACUAAAGCAUGUAGAGGACCAGUCAUUCUCCUUGGAAGUGAUAUUUAACACACCAAUAUACUUUCAAGAGUUUAGAAAAUGUUGCUCAGUAAAAUCCCAAAUGAAUAACUGCAACUAAGUCAACUAGCUACAAACUUGUAAGGCAUCUAGGUUUCUCUUUGCUUUUUCAAUGCCACAACCUCUUAUAAUUUUUGAGUCUCUUAACCUCAGCCCAGUUUAAUCAUUAGGUUAUCUGCCUAACAUCUGUAGCCAUCUGAGUUUAUAACCAUCCUAAUGAGAUAAGUAAAAUGAGAUCCAUACAGGAUAAAGGGCUUUUCCAAGAUAAUAUAGCAGAGAACUAGAAUCCAGGUAGACUCUUAAGUCUUACAACUUUCAGUUUUAAUGCUUGUCCAGCCAAUGUGCUACUGAGUUAGAUUUCUUACCUAGUCUCUUUUUUUUUUCAGCUUUCACAAUGCUGACAGCAAGGUGAAUUCUCUGAGGGAGAUUUGCAUUCAAGAUUCCCUAUAAUUCUGAAUAUCUGUGUGUUACAAAAAAUGGCACAAAGUUGUUAUUGUAAAAUGAUAAAAUUUAAAUGGUAAGAUAUGAAUAAUCAGCAUUGAGGGAGAAUUUUUCAAGGAAAACUAACUCAUUUCUGGUACCCUCUGAAAUAAAUGAGCAAUAGAUGGAUGGUUGUUUGCUCAAUAUAAGAGGAUUUUCCAAUUAAUAUUUAAUACAUUCAAUGUAUGUUCAGAAUUGCAUUCUGACUUCUGUUUAUCUUUUACGUCCUCAAGCCAACUGCAAAAGCUGGCAUAAGACAAAGACCUUAUAAACAUGUCCUAUACUGAAUCAUUAAAUAUGAUAUUUUAGAAUCAGGCCAGUGUUUGAAGUUGUGUUCCCUUCAGGGGUGUGUGUGUGUGUGUGUGUGUGUGUGUUUUAAGAAAAAAAAGUAUGAUUGUUUGCGUAAAAUCUCCACACCAAGCAGCAACAGAGUGUUUUAGUUAUGUAGACAGCACAUUGAUGUUAUGCCUUUAAAUAGGAAUUACCCUAAAAUAUAUGAAUAUGGUCAUUAAUUGCCACUUCAUGAAUUGAAGCUGACAUCAUUCAACACAGAACAAAUGAGAUUAGUCAUUUGUAGAAGUAACCCUCCCUAAGAGACUAUUUUACAUGUCUUGAUGAUAAGAUAAAUAAGUCUCCUAAAAUUGAGCAAGGAGCAUAUGGACCUUUCCCAAAACCCAAUGGAGACACACCAAUAUGAAAUAUAAGUAAUGAAAGAUAAGCUAGAAAGUAAUUAAUUGUGUGAAAUAUCCAUCACAAAGAAAUGUUAUAACAGAAUAUUUUGUUAAGUGAUCAGGAAUAUUGUUUAGUUUGGUUCUUUUUUAAAAGUAAAUACUAAAAUCUGUCAAUGCUUAAUCAGCAAUGACUCAGAACAUAGCUGGUUUAGUGAUGUUCUUAACUUCAUGGCAGGUAUUAACCUAAAAGCAGAAGGAGGGAUAAGUCUGCUACUAUUGAACGCAACAUUCCCUAAAUAUCAGCCAAUUCCUUUUGUUACACCUCUUGACUCACCACAGAAACCAUCUGAACUUACUUUGAUUUCCCAAGACUUUUACAGAGAAGGAGCAUGUACUUGCCAGCUGAUGCAAGGAUUCUGUUACAGAGUGCAGUGUGUUGUUCCAUUUAAGUGAAUAAAUUGGCAUUCUCGUUUAUAAAUCCGUUUCCUGUAAACUGAUUUAUCAUUAAUGAAUCCUCCAGGGUCUGACCAUCCCUGGGAAAACUGAUAAAAUAGUGUUCCUGACUCAUCGCACCUGAGUCUGAUGUAAUUCCAGCAAAUAUUAUUUAUCUGCCAUGUGUUUCUACCAAAAACAGCCCUUCAUCCAGCAUCUGUCUUUACUCCUGGUGAGAAAAGCUAUUAAGAUGAAGACUCCCAAAGUGAAGAGGACUAGUGAGAACCACAUUCACUUCUCAGAGACUCACAGUGAAUUUUAUACCAUAAUAGUUUGUAAAAGAUUAAGUAUGAUUAACCUCAUGCAAACCAAUAUUUCCCAAUACCCCAACAUUUUCAUGUGAGCUAUAUGAAAACUUCUGGGAAUAUACUAUGGAAACUCUGUUGCAGAGAUGAUAUAGUAUUAGGAAUCCUGAAGAAUACCUGGCAGCACAGCGUCUCAACAUGGAUUCCCAUCUCAUUUGCAUCGAGAUAAAGAAAAAUUUUCAGCAUAUAAAUCUGAAAAUCUUUCAGCAUAUAAAUCUCACUAAGAAUAAUGUCUGACAAUGUUAAGUUAAUUUUAAGGGGAAGCUGCACUGAUUUGCAUCAGACUAGGAUAAAAGAGGGGAGGAGGGCCUUCACACUGACAUUCUUCUGUUUACCUAUCUUUUCUGUAAAAGGGUUCUUUCUCAACAAAGAACCCAGAACAUGGUGUUUAGGGUAGCUGUAGAACACCUUUUAGGAUGGUUCUCUUAUUGAACUUCGUUAGAGUUAAAAAAAUUACAAAAUCAGUCAUAUAAUACUGUGUGGGACUCCAAGGGGCACCCAAGAAAUAACACUCCCCUUCCACAUCAGAGUUCUGAAAAACAAUUAGGAAAUAAAAUAAAGGAGUGGCAGGUGAAACUCACUAAUCAGCUCUUUUAUGGAUAGAGGCCAAAUGGGAGGUGCUUGAUUAGAUUAACAGUCACUUGGACCUGCUGAAUGAAUCACUGAUGUUGAAUUACCCACCAGGGCCUAGCAGACUGGACUAGACUGAUGGCGGAAAGGCAGCCACUGGUGGAGAAGAGAGUGUGUACUUGUGGGAAGACAGCAGUGGACCUGAAAAUGCCUACUUUAUUCCUCAAGUCAAGUGCCUCCAUCUGGGGUAAAGUAAGCAAAGGGGUGGAAGGAGAGUCUUCUAUGCAGAAGGGAAAAUCAGGAAUAGAGAACAAGAACUUCCUUCAAACAUAUUCUUUCUAGUAGUCAGAUAAGUAAAAUAUAAAAAAUAAAAUAAAAUAAACAUUAAAAGGAAAAAAACAGCACUAAGAUUUAAGUGCAGUGCUAUAUUCCUCCUAAAAGACAGAGGUGGUAGAGAUUAGUUGUGGACAAGAAAAUUAUGUAAAUAUGCUCAUGGCUGGACAAGAGGGAAAAGGAUAAAGAUAGGAUGAGAUAAAAACUUUUGUGGAGACAGAAAUUUAAAGGGAUUUUUCUCUCUUCCUACCAAGUAGUACACUGAAACAGGAGCAAUGGCAUUUAAGUGAUAUGUUUUCCUAGGAAUUUAUGUACCAUUCUUUUUGUCUUGUUUCAUUUUUAUCAUAUUUACUCUGUUUUCAAGUCUUUCAAAGGGUCACUGGUGUGUGAAUUAGUGGUUGUAAAAAUCUGAAUAUUAAAUGUGUUUCAGCUUACACUAUUCAGUUUUCUAAAAUUAACCAGUGUCACCUUAAAUCGCAGUCAAAUGAAUGAUUAUAAAAAAUGCAUAAGAUCGCAGAUUUACAAACCCUUUCAUUAAUAGUAACCAAUUUUCCUUCUCCAUGUGCAGUGCAUAUUUCUUUAGUCUUACACAUCUCUAUAUGCUUACUCAAUAACUGUUUAUAAUGCCCCUAAUUAUAACAUGCUCUGUGCUAUAAUCUCAGCUUCAAAAUUAAGUAUGACACAGUUUUUGUCUUCGAAUAGUUUUGAUUAUCCUAGGAAAAGAUGCAAAUCACUGAUUAUCAUUCAAUAUGAGUGAUACUAAGAUAGUAGUAUGUCUAAGAUAUUAUGGGGGGGAGACAGAACAUACGCAUUAGAUCAAGACAUUAAGAAAGAAAGCUGCCCAAGUGGUGCUUGUGAUAAGGCUUCCCUUUGUGGAUGUGGUUUUUCUAACGUUUAUUUUUAUAUAAUUUCAAGAAAUUUUACUUUUAAUCAUUCAGUGGGAAAUUGGAGACAUUGUACCUCUCUACAUUAAUAUCUUUCUGUGAAUUUCAUAAAAAACAGAGACAGCCUCUUCCAUAACAACACUGCAAUGAUCAAAACCAGGAAACUGAACACUGAGAGAGCUAUAGACUAUUUUUUUUUAUAUAUUGAAACUUUAUUAUGGCUGAAAAAUAUUCCAUUUUAUGGAUAGAUCACAUUUUGUUUAUCCAUUCAUAUGCUGAUGGAUUUUUGGGUUAUUUGCAUUUCAAGGCUACUAUAAAAAUGCUGCUUCUAACAUUCAGGUACAACAUACAUUUUUAAUUUUCUUGGGUAUAGACCUAAAAUGGAAAUGCUGAAUCAUAUGCUAACGCUAUGAUUAAUUAACCCUUUAAGGAAGAACUCAACUGUUUUCUAAAGCAGAUGCACUAUUGCACAUUGCUACUAGCAAUGCCUGAGGAUUUAUACAUCUGUGUAUGAAGAUUCUAGUUCCUCCACUACCUCACACUGUUAGUACUUGUUUUUAUUGUGACACAGCUAUAGAUAAUCAUCUAAUCUAUUAUACAUAUUCAAAUUAUGCCAAUUGUUCUAAUAAUUUUCUGUAUUUAUUCCUUUCCCAGUCCAAGAUCCAUUCUGGAUCAUCUGCAAUUAGUUGCCGUAUCUCUUGGGCUCCUUUUUCUCAGUCUCUAUUGUGACCUUGAUAUUUCUGAGAGAUACAACACAGUUAUUUUGUAACUCAAUUUGUGUAUGUUUGAUGCUCUGUAUGAUUAAAUGUAGAUCAUGAUUUGUAAGGAUUACUAAAAGAGUAAUGGGAUGCCCUUCCCAGAAAGCCUGUGAUGUCCACUUAUUCCAAUAUUUGAUCACUAGGUUAAGAGGCUUUUCAUUAGGUCACUACACUGUGGAGCUAUGUUUUUUUCCUUUUAUAAGUAAGAAGUAUUGACAAUUUUGGCAGAGGAGACCUGGGUAGUUAAAAUUUUGAUUUUAAAAAUAUUUUUCCAGCUUUUUGUGUGUUUUAAAGCUGUGGAGAGUGCUAGGAUGGUUUCGAUAUUUAUACUGAGUCAUCAGGGUAAUCACUGAUAAGGUGGUAAUAAAUUAGAAGAGCAUACAUGUCCUUAAAUGUGGAAAACAAUUUGAGUCAAAAUUUUUUUUCCUGUAUAAGUUAGACUAUCUAACUUAAGAUAAAAUGGGGUAAAUAAUGGGGGUUUUAUUAUCUCCUGUAAGAAAUCUAAAAGUACCCAAGGGCUGAUCUAAUAGCUCCAGUUUUUCAUAAAAGAACAAAAUUCUCCAUAUUUCGGAACCAUGAUUCUCAUAUAGUUGCUUCAUCUGAGUUUUGCUUCAUUAUGAUCAUGUGAUGCCUUCCUUGAUUCUAAACACCAUGGUUUUGCUACUGAAGAAGGCCAAGUGACCGCUAAGCAGAGGAAACAGUAGUGUCUACAGGAGUUUGUCUAAAAGAGAGCAGAAGUAUGGAAAGAAACUUUCCUUCUACAUUCUUUUUUUUUUUUUUUGUCUUUUUGCUAUUUCUUGGGCCACUCCCGUGGCAUAUGGAGGUUCCCAGGCUAGGGGUUGAAUCGUAGCCAUAGCCACCGGCCUACGCCAGAGCCACAGCAACGCGGGAUCCGAGCCGCGUCUGCAACCUACACCACAGCUCACAGCAAUGCCGGAUCAUUAACCCACUGAGCAAGGGCAGGGAUCGAACCCGCAAUCUCAUGGUUCCUAGUCAGAUUUGUUAACCACUGCGCUUCGACGGGAACUCCUGCUUCUACAUUCUUCAAAUAAUACAUUCGAUAUAAGGAAGUGUUUUUGCUUUGAGGUAUCCACUUCAUAUUUUUAUAUGAAAUUAAUCAUUAUACCAUAAAAUAGUAAUGGGGGUUCGCUUCUGCUUAAUAUGCUACAACUAUAUUUUGUCUAAAUGCAAAUGUUCUUUUCUGUUCCAAAACGGAAGAUAAGUUCUCUUAUUUUUCCUAUUCUUCAUAGAUUCAUACUAAGUUAUCUUCUUGUUCCAUUGCAAUCCCAUCUGGCUAUGUUCUAAAAACUAAGUUGCCAUUUUCACUUUCACUAAUGCUUCUUAUACAAAACAAUAAGGAAAGUAGGGGAAAAAAGGAGAUAACAUGCAUGAAUUUUUUAGUCACUAUGCUUUCUUUGAUAUUUACAGCUUCCUUCUUCCACUUACCAAUUUUA